rnacentral:rRNA from 1 species
UACGAGGGGGGCAAGCGUUGUUCGGAAUUAUUGGGCGUAAAGGGUGCGUAGGCGGUGCGGUAAGUCUGUUGUGAAAUCUCCGGGCUCAACUCGGAGUCUGCAUCAGAAACUGCCGUGCUGGAGUGUGGGAGAGGUGAGUGGAAUUCCCGGUGUAGCGGUGAAAUGCGUAGAGAUCGGGAGGAACACCAGUGGCGAAGGCGGCUCACUGGCCCGGAACUGACGCUGAGAUGCGAAAGCGUGGGGAGCAAACAGG